rnacentral:lncRNA from 1 species
AUUUCGCAACGGCGCGGUUUGAGGAGCUGCGCAAGAACGACAUACCUGGUUUCUUCAACCACUAGUUUACGUCGUUGCAGCCGCUAGCGUUGUUCAAUUACAACAUCGCGAAGUACUUCUGCCCUUAUCUUUGUGCAGCCAAAUGCAUAAAUAUUCCCCCAGUGCUCUGUAAAUUCCUUCUUGAUUCCCCAGGGAUUCAUUCUGGACGCAAUCUGGAAAAUUUUCAAUAACUUUAGGAAGCCAAACAUGCCACGCAGUAGAAGAAAGCACUCUCGUAGCCGUUCGCGAUCUAGGUCUUACUCCAGGUCUCGGUCCCGAUCGACAAGAUCCCAAUCUCGGCACAGAGAUGUCAAGAGAAGAAGGCAUGAUUCUUCUGAUGCAUAUUCCAAAUACAGUAACGAGCGUCAUCAGCGGUCACGGCUUCACGAGCGCGGGACGUCGGCCGAGAAGCGCUACAAGCGGUCGCACCACCGUCGCUCGCCCUCGUCGGACCACCACAGGGAGAAACGACGCCACCACCAUCACCACCACAACCGCCACCACUCCCGCCACCGUCGUCGCCAGCGGCGAUCCUACUCCAGUCAGGUGAGUCAUCCACUUCCCCAAUCUCACCUCUCAUCGUUCUCUCCUCUCUUUCUCUCUCGAAAAGUGGCUUCACAAUGUUUUCUUCUCCUGCUCUCGCCCGCUCCCCUCUCCGACCCCUACCCCCUUGUUCCAUUUCGAUUUUAAUUCUAGGCAUCAUUUUUGAGGGGAGGGGGAGUUUUGACUCCCUCAGAAUGAAAUUUUUCACUCGUUUCCCCUACCCCUCCAUCCCACAAUCCCGGACCUGUUCUUCCGUUGAAAUACUAGCGGACUGAUUCUGCACAUUCUCUGGAAUGGAGCAGCUCUAUUCGUGGGUUACCAAGUAUGUCAAAACAUCUAAUUUCGUAAAAGCUUCAGUUUAAUGGCCACUCUGGGAUCAUCAGCAAGACUUAGGUUAUUUCUCACAGCUUUUAAGGAGCCUGCCUGACAAAAUUGAUGACCUAGCAAUAAAAUUGUUCACCCCAGAAGUUCCAGAAUCAGGCUGUCGGCAGUUGGCCGAUUUAGUGACUACAUCAUUCAGUAUUUUCGCUUCAAUUCGAAGUUUCCAUUGUCAACAGAAACACAUCUCAUUCUGAGAUCAGUUAAAGUACCCUAUCGCUUUCGAAAAGUGGCAAAAUACAAACGAGCCAAUUAGAUUCUGAUUGCCUACGUAAGACAAAUAUAUAUCGAAUGAUGUAGUAAACUGAAUCGGCCUGUAGUGGCGCAUGUGUUUUGGUGCCAGGAAAAUUAGCUGAAGCACCCUCAUUGGCAGUCAAAUCGAUCUAUUCUUUUUUUUUUUGCAUAAUAAGUAAGCAAUACAGACAGCAGUGCUUCCCUUCUCUCUAGUCAAAUAUCUGAUCUCUCAUUAUGGUGGAUAUCGAUUCUGCUAAAUCUGUCGUACAAUGAUCGGUUUAACUAACAGGGUGUGUUAACGCAGUUUGGAGGCGCUAACUUUAUUUUUCCAUCGCUUUCGCCGAUUCUAAUUUUGGUACAUUGGAAUCAACAGAUGUUCAAACCUUACAUGCCCGUUUUCGGCUGUGCCCCCACACGAAAGCAUUCAAAGGUUUUAAGACACAACAGAAAAUGGACAUAUUAGAUUUCAGCGUUGGUUGAUUCCCUCUCUUCUAUACCCAGAAAGCUGCAAGUGGAAAAGUCAAAACUCAGCGGGUUUUUUUCUUCCUUUUUUCAUUUUAAUUAAACAUUUUAGAAAAAAAAUCAUUGAAAACUUCGCGCUCUACUUAUGAUGCGUAUCAAAGAUUACAAUUCCAGUAAACAUUAAGCCUUUUGUUUUUUCAUUUCCUGGGAUUAUUUAUUUUCUUUGCGUCAGGUUAUUCGGUCAAAUAUCUCCUUUGCUGAGAUUUGACUUUUUCACUUCUUAAACCCUUUUUAUAUUGGCAGUGGUUCCAAAUACUUAUCUUACUCAAGAAAGUAGGUACUUCUAUUUCUUUCGUUUGAGUCGAAAGGUAAGUGCAUGGUAGAUUGUUAUUAUAUGAACUCUCCUCUCCUGGAGACAGUCUUUUUAAAAUUUACCCUCGUGGCAUCUACUUGGUUUCUGCUUCGCGUGUUAGGUUAGGUCACAAGUCAGGAUGGAAGCCUCCUGUAAAUUAAAGCAAAAUACCAUAGGAAUAUUCCUCAAAAAUCACAGCACCCCCCCCCCCCCCCUUGAAUGAAAGGAUUUUUCUUUGAAUAUCACGCCAUCGACUUAACGGAAUUUCACUCUAGAAAUCCAGGAUUUUUUCCCCCCGAGAAUUACAGGGUUUCCACGGUCAGGGAAUACCGGGAAACGUCAGGGAAUUUUAAAAAGUCAGGAAAACCUGGAAAUGUCUGGGGAAAAGUUGGUUAUAUACCAUCAGUUUUCUAGAGUGGAUUUGACGUCUAGAACAACAAAUUUUGUCUGGAAACUAUUUCUAAUCGUCUUUUUGGCAAAAUGGUCUAUCUUUAAUUGUCAGGGAAUUUUACUCAAAAUUAUCUGGGAAAUCAGGGAAAAUGUGAGGGAUUUUCAUUUAACAAAUUCUGUGGCAACCUCGGAAUAAAGAAUGUGCAAGCACAUUUCUUAUUGCUUCAUCUGAAAGUGCUUUAAGAGCUGAUUUCAAGGUAUUUUUUACAAUUUUUUUCUGACAUUGGAAAUAGUAUGAAAAUAGAUUUAAAAGUGAGAAAAUGCAUCGCCUAGUGACGUCAUCUGGCGGCAUUUCCCAUUUAAACACAUGUAUUUUACCAGAUUAGAUCAUUUUGUCAUAUCUUCUCCCAUAAUUG